rnacentral:ncRNA from 1 species
GAGAGCCCGUUGCGUUGUGAGGCGCACGGCGGGUUCGGGAGGCGGUUCGGGGAAACCCACCGGUGGCGACACCGACAGGGCGCCCCGGACCGACCUCAC